rnacentral:lncRNA from 1 species
AGCCCUCCCAGGAGAAGCUGAAGUCCUUUCCUGUGUGUGUGAGCGCCAAGCUGGAGCCCAAGGAUGACAUGGAGGAGGCGCUUGGGGGGUCUCCUACAAGAAGUCUGUCUUCCCGGACCAACUGGUUGGUGCUGUAACAAAGAGCCAUGUGAUGCUGGGGGCAGAGACAGAGAAGAAACUGUUCAGUGCCCCUUGUCCAUCAAUGAGAGAGCGUCCCGGAGAACUACUUCUACACGCCAGACCUGGGCCAAGUCCCCAAGGUCGAUGUGCCAUCCUACCUGACCUGCCUGGCAGACCUCAAGUAUGGUGCCAGCCUGGGCCCCAGCAUCACCCACUCUGCCCUGGCACCCCUAUACGAUGGCAUGUUAACAGCACCCCAACCUCCCCAAGCUGCUGCGGUGCUGGUCAGUGCACCCUCAUCCCCACCCCAGGCCCCGCCCACUGCAGUCCAAGGUGCCGGGCAGGAUGACAGCAGCAGCAUC